GAUAAAAGGAGGCAGAGAGGCUGACUUUCAAUGUAUCUUCCUCACUGAGAGACGGCAGGAUGCUCAACUCCUCACCUCACCUGCUCUGCUUUGCAACUUUUUCUCUCCUUGCUGUGGGAUUUUUCAUUUCUGCAGGUGAAAUGCAUAGAUUUUUUUUUCGGAUUGGAUUAUGUCUUUUUUUCUUCUUGCUAGCAACAAAUGAAACUUCAAACCUCAACGCCUGCAACUGGAAAUCCUCUAAGUGAAAGUUUCUGAAAACUUUCCUCUUUUGGAAGAUGCUAGGCGAAAAGAAGAAACCCCAAGCAAAAUAAAAAUCUGACUCUUCAAACCAGUUACGCCGGCAGGACCUGAAAGAGUAAGGCAGCCACUAGAUCUACCACCAC